rnacentral:rRNA from 1 species
AGAGUUUGAUCCUGGCUCAGGAUGAACGCUAGCUACAGGCUUAACACAUGCAAGUCGCGGGGCAGCAUGAAUUUAGCUUGCUAAAUUUGAUGGCGACCGGCGCACGGGUGAGUAACGCGUAUCCAACCUUCCCCUGUCCACGGGAUAGCCCGUCGAAAGGCGGAUUAAUACCGUAUGAGGUCACAUGACGGCAUCAGAGUGUGACGAAAGGUUUGGCGGACAGGGGUGGGGAUGCGUCCGAUUAGCUUGUUGGCGGGGUAACGGCCCACCAAGGCUACGAUCGGUAGGGGUUCUGAGAGGAAGGUCCCCACAUUGGAACUGAGACACGGUCCAAACUCCUACGGGAGGCAGCAGUGAGGAAUAUUGGUCAAUGGGCGAGAGCCUGAACCAGCCAAGUAGCGUGCAGGAUGACGGCCCUAUGGGUUGUAAACUGCUUUUAUGCGGGGAUAACGUGCACCACGUGUGGUGUAUUGCAGGUACCGCAUGAAUAAGGACCGGCUAAUUCCGUGCCAGCAGCCGCGGUAAUACGGAAGGUCCGGGCGUUAUCCGGAUUUAUUGGGUUUAAAGGGAGCGUAGGCCGCUGUUUAAGCGUGUUGUGAAAAACCGGGGCUCAACUCCGGUCGUGCAGCGCGAACUGGACGGCUUGAGUGCGCGGUAAGUGGGCGGAAUUUGUGGUGUAGCGGUGAAAUGCUUAGAUAUCACGAAGAACUCCGAUUGCGAAGGCAGCUCACUGUAGCGCAACUGACGCUGAAGCUCGAAAGUGCGGGUAUCGAACAGGAUUAGAUACCCUGGUAGUCCGCACGGUAAACGAUGGAUGCCCGCUGUUCCGACUAUUAGUAGGAGUGGCCAAGCGA